GAAAAGGGGAAAUGGUGUGGGAAAUCCUUCUGUAUAUGUGUUGCUUUUAUUGGUUAGUGAGUAAAGCUGUUUUGGCCAUUGGCUUAGCAGAAUAGAGCAAGUUGAGAAUUCCAAGCAGAUGGAGGAGGAAAGAAGGCAGAAUCAGGAGGAAGUCAUGUAGCUGCCUCAGGAGACAGACGUAUCCCAGAACUUUACUGGUAAACCAUGAGCCUCGUGGUAAAAUAUAAAAUAAGAAAAAUUGGUCCAUUUAAGAUGUAAGAGCUCGCAAGAAAUAUGUACAAGCUAUUGACCAAACAGUAUUGUAAAUAAUAUAGCUUCUGUGUAAUUAUUUUGGCUCUGGGAGGCCAGAAAACAAGCAAGCAGCUUUCUGCUUACAUGCAGACACUGCUGUGGUUACUCACCUGCACAGCACGGAAACUCCAGUCUUCCCACCAUGAAAGUAGCAUCCUUCUCUGUCUCUGUCUUUCCCCUUCUAGCUGUCCUCCAGCCUCCUCCACUUUCUUGCUCAGAGGAACCUCUAGACGAGUGGUUCUCAACCGUCCUAAUGCUGAGACCCUUUACUACAGUUCCUCAUGCUGUGGUGACCCCAAACAAAAUUAUUGUUGUGGCUACUUCAUAACUAUCAUUUUGCUACUGAUAUGAAUCAUCAUGUAAGUAUCUGUGUUUUCCAAUGAUCUUAGGUGACCCCUGUGCAAGGGUCAUUCAACCCCAGAGGGGUUGUGACUCAUGGUUGAGAACCACUACUGUUAACAGAGGCUCUCUUCCAAGUGCUGAUAGCUCUCCCUUAGCUCAGGAGUACCCUCUGCUGUCUGACUUCUGUCCCAGUCACCCUGAAGGUCCCCAGAUGCCCAUGUCUAGUCAGCCUUUCCUUUGCUCAUGCUCCACUCAGCCAUCUUGCUGGCUUUGCAUUUGUGGGUGUUUUUAAGAAUAUUGUUCCUUUAGUUGUUUGUGUUUCUUUCAGCAGCUCUCCCCCCUUCCCCUCCCCGCCAUACUGCUUCUGUCUGUCUGUCUGUCUCUCUUCCUCGCCUUCUCUGGGGGGUUCUUCAGUGUACCUCAGGAACCAUGGGUAGUUGAAGUACCCAAAGGGUUUGCUACUGGCUGAACUGACAGGCCAGAGAUCUGCGCUAUGGGCGGCCCCCCCCUGGGUCCUGUGCCAUUUCCCUGAAUCAUGCUCUUCAAUGCGUUCCAGCCCACCAUCCGUCCCACUGCUCUCUACCUACCCUGUCACUGGAGGUUCUCUCAAGUUCCUGUCAUCCUUAAAUAGCCUGGCUCACAUAGCCUGUUGUGAUUGGACUCUUGUGUAGUUCUCGGGUUGGCCACUGACUCCUGACGCUCAGUGUGCUCUGUGACCUGAGGUGCACCCUGAACGCACACACUGGCUUACACUUUGUGGUCUGUCAGUUUCCUAUCACUGAUGCCCUGCACCAAAGCCCUUUUAAAGCUCACCUUCAUGCCUGUGCCUGGUGGUGCAUGCUUGUAACCCCAGCAUUUAGUAGGCUAAGAUGGGAGAAAUGCCACAAAGUUGCAGUUCAACCUAGACCAUAGAGUGAGAUAUUAGCUCAAUAAUCUCAUUUGAAAAACCCAUUGAACUAGAACGCGUCCACCUCCCACAGGCUGCAUUGAGCGUCAUUGCUUGAGCCCAGUGUUUUCUCCCUGUCCUCAAGGUCCCCUGUGUAAGCCACACCCUCAGAACCACAGUUAGUGAGGGCUCGCCCCUCAGGUUGGAGUGUGAGCUCAGCACACACAGGGUCCCAGCCUGCUUCUCCAGUCUCCAGAGAACAGGUGUAGGAUGGACCUGGGUACAGUGUGAACAGCAACCCCUCGUGUCUGUUAUAGAGAAAACAAUGCCAAAAAGUCAAAAAGGACCAGUUUGAGUAAAGGGGUCUGUUUGGAGGGAAAUCCCCAGAAGAAUGGCAGCGGGGAGGUUGCACACUUGUCCCCUUGUCAUGGGAUGUUCUGUCGUGGGGCGAGGGUUGAGUGGCGGGGAAGUUACGUGGAGACAAUACACAGAACUGGAGAGAGUUGGGCAAUGAGAAGGAAGAUCGGUUCCAUCACUAACAUCGUAUUAGAAGUCUCUGAGGGCUAACCCACAAGUAAGCGAAGAUGGGUUAAAGGUAACUUAAGAUAGAACUUGGAGCAAAUUGGGUUGCGAAAGGUGCAGUAACAUGUCAUAGCCACCAGGUGGCACUAGAGGAUUUCCUUCAGCACAAACAGGGUUUGUCUCUGUGUCACGCUGGCGGUCACCUACUCUCUAAAGAAGGCAAUUCUGAGAUUUGGAGAAAAUAUUCACUUUGUAGGGUGCAAUGAAACUAUUCAUUAGUUGUCUUUGAAUAUGCACAUUUAAAAAAAUCAGCCCCCUUCCACUAGUCUCAAAGCAUUUUGAGGUGGUCUCCCUAAUUUUCCCAGCAGCUUUGGCUCAGGCUCCAUAUGCUGGACACAGACAAGGAAGUGAUCUGUCUUGAUCCAAGCAGGAACUCCUGUGUAUCCCUCAUUCAACAGGAUGGGUAUGGACCGCAGGAGAUUGCAUGGGUUGUUGUUGGCAGAGAUCUGCGCCCUGGACUCUGAGCAAAGAAAACACACCCUAGUUUGCUCGUCAGGAAUUGUUUGGUAUUACAUUUGCAAAGCUUGCCGUUUGUUAUUGACAAUUUGUUCAAAGAAGCUUGACAAAGCAAAAGCACUGCGGGCCAAAGGGCUAAGACGGGUCAGUCUUAGAGUGGCGUACCACAUGGAGCCCGGCGUGAAUACAAAGUUCUCCUCCCAAGGUUCUCUCCCUGCUCUGCCGACAGAAGGUGCGGCUCAUUGCUUUCUCCAUCCAUUGUCUCCGAGAAGCCUUCUGGGACGACAUUUAGGUGCAGCUCCCUGCUGUGUUCCCUCGCAUGGCUGUCCUUCCUCCAUGCAGCCGCCUUCACCCUGUA